ACGAACGCUGGCGGCGUGCUUAACCCAUGCAAGUCGCACGGAAAGGCCCUGCUUUUGUGGGGUGCUCGCGUGGCGAACGGGUGAGUAACACGUGAGUAACCUGCCCUUGACUUUGGGAUAACUUCAGGAAACUGGGGCUAAUACCGGAUAGGAGCUCCUGCUGCAUGGUGGGGGUUGGAAAGUUUCGGCGGUUGGGGAUGGACUCGCGGCUUAUCAGCUUGUUGGUGGGGUAGUGGCUUACCAAGGCUUUGACGGGUAGCCGGCCUGAGAGGGUGACCGGCCACAUUGGGACUGAGAUACGGCCCAGACUCCUACGGGAGGCAGCAGUGGGGAAUAUUGCACAAUGGGCGGAAGCCUGAUGCAGCAACGCCGCGUGCGGGAUGACGGCCUUCGGGUUGUAAACCGCUUUCGCCUGUGACGAAGCGUGAGUGACGGUAAUGGGUAAAGAAGCACCGGCUAACUACGUG
rnacentral:rRNA from 1 species